UGGGGAAUAUUGGACAAUGGGCGAAAGCCUGAUCCAGCCAUGCCGCGUGUGUGAAGAAGGUCUUCGGAUUGUAAAGCACUUUAAGUUGGGAGGAAGGGCAGUAAAUUAAUACUUUGCUGUUUUGACGUUACCGACAGAAUAAGCACCGGCUAACUCUGUGCCAGCAGCCGCGGUAAUACAGAGGGUGCAAGCGUUAAUCGGAAUUACUGGGCGUAAAGCGCGCGUAGGUGGUUCGUUAAGUUGGAUGUGAAAUCCCCGGGCUCAACCUGGGAACUGCAUUCAAAACUGACGAGCUAGAGCAUGGUAGAGGGUGGUGGAAUUUCCUGUGUAGCGGUGAAAUGCGUAGAUAUAGGAAGGAACACCAGUGGCGAAGGCGACCACCUGGACUGAUACUGACACUGAGGUGCGAAAGCGUGGGGAGCAAAACAGGAUUAGAUACCCUGGUAGUCCACGCCGUAAACGAUGUCAACUAGCCGUUGGGAGCCUUGAGCUCUUAGUGGCGCAGCUAACGCAUUAAGUUGACCGCCUGGGGAGUACGGUCGCAAGGUUAAAAGC
rnacentral:rRNA from 1 species